rnacentral:rRNA from 1 species
AGUGAACGCUGGCGGUAGGCCUAACAUAUGCAAGUCGAACGGCAGCACAGUAAGAGCUUGCUCUUACGGGUGGCGAGUGGCGGACGGGUGAGGAAUACAUCGGAAUCUACUUUUUCGUGGGGGAUAACGUAGGGAAACUUACGCUAAUACCGCAUACGACCUACGGGUGAAAGCAGGGGAUCUUCGGACCUUGCGCGAUUGAAUGAGCCGAUGUCGGAUUAGCUAGUUGGCGGGGUAAAGGCCCACCAAGGCGACGAUCCGUAGCUGGUCUGAGAGGAUGAUCAGCCACACUGGAACUGAGACACGGUCCAGACUCCUACGGGAGGCAGCAGUGGGGAAUAUUGGACAAUGGGCGCAAGCCUGAUCCAGCCAUACCGCGUGGGUGAAGAAGGCCUUCGGGUUGUAAGCCCUUUUGUUGGGAAAGAAAAGCAGCAGGUUAAUACCCCGCUGUUCUGACGGUACCCAAAGAAUAAGCACCGGCUAACUUCGUG